CGUGAGGAAAAGGGCCAAAGGAAGAUUUCCAAUUGGCCUUGAUAAUUUCCACCUCUAACCGUGGACUGAUUUCUGGAGGAGUUUCUGCCAUCACUACACUCAAUCCCAGAUGUUGCUAGCAUAUCAUGAACUGCCAUUCUACUUCCUGGGGAACAGACAUCAGCUUAAAGCACGUACCAUGGGAGCCAUGGACAUAAAUGCUCAAGUCCACACCUUCAAUGCACACUGUGAUCUUCCAAGCACUUAUCGAGC
rnacentral:lncRNA from 1 species